GCCGCGGUCGCAUAACCCGGUAUUGCGGCAGGCUUGAACCCUGCUUUCCGUCAAGGAUAUCCCGGUUCAAAUCCGGGCCGCGGCG
rnacentral:tRNA from 1 species